GGGACGCACACACCACUAUUCUGCAAGAAAAAGACAGUGCUUGGAGGUUUCCACCUUUUAUAUACACAGCAAAAGUAAUUAACUCUUCGUGACGGUGAUGCAUGAGGAUGAAAGGGGACUCCCAUCAGUGUGGGAUUAAGGCACAGAUUCAGGAACUUGGCUUGUGACAAGGAGCAUGAGGAAUAUACUCUGCAUUUUUUGAAACUCAGUUGAGUGGAAAACGAGAAAAUGCUUCUGUUUGUGCCUGGCCCUGUUUGAACCCUGCGCAUCUCCGUGUGCUCCAGCAUCCCAGAGCAUCAGGUUGCCCAGACAAACCUACAGCGCUCGGCGAUGGCGUUGCACGCGAGCUGGCAGGUGGCCCGUCCACCCUCUGCACCGUGAAGCACUUUGGUAACAGCCUGAGACAAAACCUCUUCCUUAGAGGGUAUUUUGUCCGCACUUUAAAAGCAAGGCAGACAAUCCAUGAAAUAAGGAGGUGUUUCCAAAUCUGUGCUGCCUCCUGGUUUUAACCACAGAGUCCCCACAUGGCUGUGGGCUCUGGGCGAUAGAUAGCCCCAGCCCUGCCCUGGGAUGGAUGGGCUGUGGGUGCCCCAGGAGGGGUCCACG